GCCUACGGCCAUACCACCCUGAAAGCGCCCGAUCUCGUCUGAUCUCGGUAGCUAAGCAGGGACGGGCUUGGUUAGUACCUGGAUGGGAGACCGCCUGGGAAUACCAGGUGUUGUAGGCU
rnacentral:rRNA from 1 species